GCUAAGAAGAGUCCUGGUAUUGUUGAAAUCCAAGCACAAAUUUCUGGCCUUGGCUGCUCUUCGCUUUAUGAGGAGGAUGAUUGCCAUGAAAAAUGACGUUUACAACCGUUACAUCAUCCAAUGUAACCUCUUUGAGCCGAUUAUAAACGCUCUGCUGGACAAUGGGACUAGGUACAACUUGUUCAAUUCUGCCUUGCUGGAGCUGUUUGAUUUCAUCCUGGUGGAAGACAUCCAGUCCCUUAUUGAACAUCUAGUUGAGAACUUCUCUGCUAAGCUGGA